rnacentral:miRNA from 15 species
UGAACGUUACCUUCUUGAGAAAC